UACAAUGGGGGUUAAGAAUUAUUUUUGGUUAGUAGUAAUUUUAUUAAUUAUUAUUUUUAUAAUUUUUAGGUGAAAUUUAUAAUUAUAUUUAGAAUAUUCCUUUUGAUUCUAUGAAAUUUAAAAUUAAAACAA
rnacentral:rRNA from 1 species